AAAUUUUUAGACAAGUUGGGCAUGUGUGACAUCUAUGCACCAACUUGAGGGGGAGUGUUGAGAUAUUAGGAAUGUUUUUCGUAUAUCAUUCUUUCCUUAUAUUAUUUAGUGUUGAGAUAUUAGGAAUGUUUAAAUAUUAGGAAAGUUGAGAUAUUAAGAAUAUUGAGAUAUUAGGAAUAUUGAGAUAUUAGGAUAUUAGUUCUUAUUUCCUUAUAUCAUUCUUUCCUUGUAUCAUUCCUUCCCAUUCUUAGAAUGGUGAUUACCCUCUAUAUAUUCUCUG
rnacentral:lncRNA from 1 species